CAGUAGCCACGGGAAAACGAAGGGGGCUAGCGUUGCUCGGAAUGACUGGGCGUAAAGGGCGCGUAGGCGGUUUUGACAGUCAGAUGUGAAAUUCCUGGGCUUAACCUGGGGGCUGCAUUUGAGACGUCAAGACUAGAGUGUGAGAGAGGGUUGUGGAAUUCCCAGUGUAGAGGUGAAAUUCGUAGAUAUUGGGAAGAACACCGGUGGCGAAAGCGGCUCACUGGACCAUUACUGACGCUGAGGCGCGAAAGCUAGGGGAGCAAACAGGAUUAGAUACCCGGGUAGUCCCUGUCUCUUAUAC
rnacentral:rRNA from 1 species